rnacentral:ncRNA from 2 species
AUGAAUGUAAGGGGAGAGACUACCGUAUGGUAGCGCCGAAGGAGCAAGCCCGGCUGGGUGAAUCUCUCAGGCAAAAAGACCCUUACAGGACG